GCAGAACAAUCUUACUAUUCAACACGACUAAAAGCUUUCAAUUUUAAAAACGUAAACUAUUACAAUUACCUUAUAGUUUGGAAAAGUUAGCAUGAAACAAGCUUCAUAGAAAAUAGAAUCUCAAACCUAUGGAACUUUAAAGGUAAAGACUAGAAACCCAUGUGUUCAACGAACUUGAUUCCAUGCGUUCAACGAACUUUAUCAACGAACAACGAACUUAGAAAUAUAAAAACAUUUCCAAACUAUCAUUUAUCACUCUCAUAAAACAUUUUCUCAAACUCUUUAACAGUGUUGCAUAUACAAUUGUACAUAUCUCAAUCUUGAGAGACUUGAGAAACUUACAAACAAAGUGUGAAUCCAUGACUUGGCCACUAUUAAGUCACGCCAACUAAAUGACAAGUCAAGUUCCACAUCUUAUCCCCACCAAGUUGCUUUCUGCGACAUUAUCAGUUUCAGACCACUUUAAGCUGCUCUGUUCACAUGCAAGAAACACACGAACACACAUUAUAGACCAAUGUGCGAAAAACCUUGUAGCCCUCCCUGCGCCGGAACUCAAGUGAGCUUCCUUUCUCUUCUUGUAGGCCUAGAACCUGUUACAGCUCUUCCUUCGUCUGUUUGCAUCCAUAAUUUCAAACAGAGCUUGUUACAUUUUUGUUAGAGGUUGGGUUAAAAGUCUCCAUGUCUGGAAAAACCUAAAGCGUCAUUGAUGUAUAUAUGUAAGAAGGAACAAAUAAAGAAGGGUAACUAAUCAAUGAAAGAAACGAAGGAGAUAGAUAUUUUAACAAUGCAAGCUCUCUACUCUCUAUAUUCUCCUCAACUUUCCAAGGCAGGUACGAAGGAACUUGGUUUCCGUACAACAUCCCAGUCCCAGGCACUCUUUCACGGCAUGGACUAGAAUCAGAAACAGACGAGAUGAUCGCUCAUUGAAACACAGGGAAUGAGAUCAACUGCAAGUUAGCAACAUGGUUUUCAGUUAGUUUUAAUUUUAGCUGUUUUCACCUUUUUUUUUCUUCUGCAAAGUCAAUUAACAAAAAGCAAUGUUAUAGAAAAAAUUGCUUCGUCCAUACAAUAAAUUUAUCAUUCUUUACAAAUUCUUUGAAAAAAAAUUCGUUUGGUCCAUAAAAUAAAAUCGAUGACAAAAGGACUAACAAAAAUUGUGUGUUCCAUAUAAAGUCAAUGGAAAAUUAAACAGUAAAAAAUUCCGCUGCCGGGAAUCGAACCCGGAUUUCAAGGAUGCGAACAGCCCCUGUUUGCUCGUUCAAAGAACGAAGGACUGCCCGCUUGAGCAUUGAAAUUAACCAUUGUGCUACAGCGGAUCAAGUUGCUUAAGUAAUAAGUAAAUAUUAUUUAUUUAUUAAUUUAAACAUGAAUGGGCUUUAAGAAUUGUUACACUAAACUCUCUAAUUAUCUAAAAAAGAUUUUGGGCAUGAAGAUGAUGCAUAGAGCCCAUAAUCGUGGAAGCACCGUAGCCUAUUGGUUAAGGUUUAAAGGCUUCUACACCCAGGUCUGGGGUUCGAAUCCCAGACUAUGCAGUUUAUUGCACAUUACAGGAAAUCCAGGUUUCAAGUCCCGGAGAGAGUGGUUUAUUAACCAAUUAUGCAGACUACAAAGGAAAGGCUUGCAAGAGAUCUUCAACAUGGUGCAAGUAAAUCUGGUCAGGCGUGGAUCUUCAUAGGACGGCUCAGGUGCUGCAGUUAGGCGUAGGUCUUCAUAAGGCAGGUAGUAUUGUCGGUUGUCGAAUCGUCUAUGUAAUAUUUCCUAUAUCAUAAUUGUAAGAUCAUAAUAAAUCAGCGUUAAAAAAAAGAGCCCAUAAUAUGCUGACGGUAAAGACGAUUACAUUCAAGUUUCAUGUGUUUACAUUAGAAAAACUUAACAUAAUGGUAGUCCACAGUUGAUGCUUCAUACUGGGAUUGGUCCAAGAAGUUAUCUUUCGACUUGGCGUAUCCCUGUGGCUCUUGAACAGCCGCAUGUGGGAGGAUAAACCGAGGAACGGUGUCACCAUUGGUCCUCCGGUUCCAAUGGCGAACUCGCUGAUACAAGUAGUAGGUAUUACUGAGGAAGGUGCUUCUCUGGAGGCUGCUUCCAGAUACAUUCUGUUUUCAUCAGAGCUCCAAGAUAAAACCCAAUUAUUAGUGUCUACUGGUUUACUAAGGUUGGCCUGAUAGGAUAAACCCAAUUGUUUUAUUCAACUACUUUAGAGAUCCACAGGAUCAACCUUCAAUAUCCCUCCCGGGAAGAAUCCACAAGCUGCCUUGAUGAGAUACAAGAUGAGCUUGAUGACAUUUUCUGGAUUAGACUUACUGAAUCUUUUGCUGUAUUUUCCACCUGUAGCAUUCUAGUAGUUGAUUCUACAGUUAGUCUGUUCAUUUAUUCAUUGGACUCCUCUGCUUAAUUCAUGUGACAAGAGUAUAGCGAGUUCGUGUUUAGCUGAUGUAAACAUCAGGACUGAGAUGUAAUAAUCAAUAGCUGAUUUUACUCAGAGUAGCUAUUAUAAUAAAGUUCAAGCCUUGCUCUGUCAGAAAGUAAGGGACAUGUUACAUUGACUCCUUCGACUUCCAUCAACCAAGAUGAUCCACAAGCCUCGAAAUAAUAUUCACUGGCUCACAAGACUCUACGGAUAAGAUGUAUCCUAGUCAAUGAAGCCAAAAUGUGACUCGAACAUAAACUUUUUAAUGCACAAUUCAAAAGGAAAUCAUCUUAUUGCAAUGGUAAAAGCUAAACACAAAAGAAGGUUUUUAUAUAAAGUUAUAAA